rnacentral:rRNA from 1 species
CAGCCGCCGCGGGAAUACGUAGGUCCCGAGCGUUGUCCGGAUUCAUUGGGCGUAAAGCGCGCGCAGGUGGUUUAAUAAGUCUGAUGUGAAAGCCCACGGCUCAACCGUGGAGGGUCAUUGGAAACUGUAGGCUAGAGUAUCGGAGAGGAAAGCGGAAUUCCUAGUGUAGCGGUGAAAUGCGUAGAUAUUAGGAAGAACACCAGUGGCGAAGGCGGCUUUCUGGACGAAAACUGACGCUGAGGCGCGAAAGCUAGGGGAGCGAACGGGAUUAGAUACCCCCGUAGUCCCUGUCUCUUAUACA